UUUUUUGUGUUAUUACAAAUAAUGAGUAGUAAUAGCAGUAGCGGUAGUAGCAAUAGUUGUAACAAUAUUAGAAGUAGUAGUAGUAGUAGUGGUAAUAACAGUAGUAACAAUAGUAAAAAUAGUACCAGUAGUAGUAGUAGUAGUAAUAGCGGCUUUAGCAGUUGUAGCAGUAGUAGCAAUAAUAGAAGUAACAGUAACAGUAGCAAUAGUAGAAGUAUUAGUAGUAAUAGUAGUAUUAGUAAUAGUAAUAGUAGUAAUAGUAGUAAUAG
rnacentral:lncRNA from 1 species